rnacentral:rRNA from 3 species
CUAAUCUGCGAUAAGCGCCGGUAAGGUGAUAUGAACCGUUAUAACCGGCGAUACCCGAAUGGGGAAACCCAGUGUGACUCGUCACACUAUCAUUAACUGAAUCCAUAGGUUAAUGAGGCGAACCGGGGGAACUGAAACAUCUAAGUACCCCGAGGAAAAGAAAUCAACCGAGAUUCCCCCAGUAGCGGCGAGCGAACGGGGAGGAGCCCAGAGCCUGAAUCAGCAUGUGUGUUAGUGGAAGCGUCUGGAAAGGCGCGCGAUACAGGGUGACAGCCCCGUACACAAAAGCGCAUGUGCUGUGAGCUCGAUGAGUAGGGCGGGACACGUGGUAUCCUGUCUGAAUAUGGGGGGACCAUCCUCCAAGGCUAAAUACUCCUGACUGACCGAUAGUGAACCAGUACCGUGAGGGAAAGGCGAAAAGAACCCCGGCGAGGGGAGUGAAAAAGAACCUGAAACCGU